CAUGAUGUCAUUCAUUUGAUGUUGUGGGGAAUUAGGACUGUUACCUUGAAAAAAUUGGAGUGUUUAAAGCAGGCUAACGCUUGAAUACAUUAGCAUGGAAUAAUGAAAUAGGACAUCGCAUUCUAUUUUGUUGGUUUCUAGGAUCGAUGUAAUGAUUAAUAGGGAUAGUUGGGGGCAUUAGUAUUCAAUUGUCAGAGGUGAAAUUCUUGGAUUUAUUGAAGACUAACUACUGCGAAAGCAUUUGCCAAGGAUGUUUUCAUUAAUCAAGAACGAAAGUUAGGGGAUCGAAGACGAUCAGAUACCGUCGUAGUCUUAACCAUAAACUAUGCCGACUAGGGAUCGGAUGAUGUUGAUUUUUUAAUGACUCAUUCGGCACCUUACGGGAAACCAAAGUGUUUGGGUUCCGGGGGGAGUAUGGUCGCAAGGCUGAAACUUAAAGGAAUUGACGGAAGGGCACCACCAGGGGUGGAGCCUGCG
rnacentral:rRNA from 1 species